rnacentral:rRNA from 1 species
UCGAGCGGAUGGAAGGAAGCUUGCUUCCUAGAAAGUCAGCGGCGGACGGGUGAGUAACACGUGGGCAACCUGCCCCUAAGAUCGGGAUAACUUCGGGAAACCGGAGCUAAUACCGGAUAUGAUUAUGUCUCACAUGAGACAUAAUGGAAAGACGGUUUCGGCUGUCACUUAGGGAUGGGCCCGCGGCGCAUUAGCUAGUUGGUGAGGUAACGGCUCACCAAGGCGACGAUGCGUAGCCGACCUGAGAGGGUGAUCGGCCACACUGGGACUGAGACACGGCCCAGACUCCUACGGGAGGCAGCAGUAGGGAAUCUUCCGCAAUGGACGAAAGUCUGACGGAGCAACGCCGCGUGAGUGAAGAAGGUUUUCGGAUCGUAAAACUCUGUUGUUAGGGAAGAACAAGUACCAUAGUAACUGAUGGUACCUUGACGGUACCUAACCAGAAAGCCACGGCUAACUACGUGCCAGCAGCCGCGGUAAUACGUAGGUGGCAAGCGUUGUCCGGAUUUAUUGGGCGUAAAGCGCGCGCAGGCGGUCUUUUAAGUCUGAUGUGAAAGCCCACGGCUCAACCGUGGAGGGUCAUUGGAAACUGGGAGACUUGAGUGCAGAAGAGGAGAGUGGAAUUCCACGUGUAGCGGUGAAAUGCGUAGAGAUGUGGAGGAACACCAGUGGCGAAGGCGACUCUCUGGUCUGUAACUGACGCUGAGGCGCGAAAGCGUGGGGAGCGAACAGGAUUAGAUACCCUGGUAGUCCACGCCGUAAACGAUGAGUGCUAAGUGUUAGAGGGUUUCCGCCCUUUAGUGCUGCAGCUAACGCAUUAAGCACUCCGCCUGGGGAGUACGGCCGC